UUGCACUUGCGACCACUAGGCAGUUAACCAUAAAAAAAACAUUUGUCAAGUGAUUACAAAUGCGACU
rnacentral:precursor_RNA from 1 species